UAGGGAAUAUUGGACAAUGGGCGCAAGCCUGAUCCAGCCAUGCCGCGUGAGUGAAGAAGGCCCUCGGGUUGUAAAGCUCUUUUGUCCGGAAAGAAAAGCAUCGGGCUAAUACCCUGGUGUUCUGACGGUACCGGAAGAAUAAGCACCGGCUAACUUCGUGCCAGCAGCCGCGGUAAUACGAAGGGUGCAAGCGUUACUCGGAAUUACUGGGCGUAAAGCGUGCGUAGGUGGUUUGUUAAGUCUGAUGUGAAAGCCCUGGGCUCAACCUGGGAAUGGCAUUGGAAACUGGCGGACUCGAGUGCGGUAGAGGGGUGUGGAAUUCCCGGUGUAGCAGUGAAAUGCGUAGAGAUCGGGAGGAACACCAGUGGCGAAGGCGACACCUGGACAGCACUGACACUGAGGCACGAAAGCGUGGGGAGCAAACAGGAUUAGAUACCCUGGUAGUCCACGCCCUAAACGAUGCGACUGGAUGUUGGUGCAACUUGGCACUCAGUAUCGAAGCUAACGCGUUAAGUUCGCCGCCUGGGGAGUACGGUCGCAAGACUGAAACUCAAAUGAAUUGACGGGGUCAUA
rnacentral:rRNA from 1 species